GGGAUCCGGUGUAACUGGCGACGAAGUGGGCACAACCACAAUGGAGCACCGGAACAAACGGCCGGUCGCCUGGGCAAAAGAG
rnacentral:ncRNA from 2 species